rnacentral:rRNA from 1 species
ACUCAAAGGAAUAGACGGGGACCCGCACAAGCGGUGGAGCAUGUGGUUUAAUUCGACGCAACGCGAAGAACCUUACCUGGACUAGAAUGUGAGGGAAGAGAGGGUAAUUCCGAUCGUCUGGGAAACCAGACCCAAAACAAGGUGCUGCAUGGCUGUCGUCAGCUCGUGUCGUGAGAUGUUGGGUUAAGUCCCGCAACGAGCGCAACCCUUAUCAACAGUUGCCAUCAUUAAGUUGGGAACUCUGUUGAGACUGCCGUUGAUAAAACGGAGGAAGGUGGGGAUGAUGUCAAGUCAUCAUGGCCUUUAUGUUCAGGGCUACACACGUGCUACAAUGGAUGGUACAAAACGUCGCAAUCUCGCAAGAGGGAGCUAAUCGCAAAAACCAUUCUCAGUUCGGAUUGGAGUCUGCAACUCGACUCCAUGAAGUUGGAAUCGCUAGUAAUCGCAAAUCAGCAUGUUGCGGUGAAUACGUUCCCGGGUCUUGCACACACCGCCCGU